UGCAUCCCAGGCAGCUCUUAGUGUGGAGCAGUGAACUGUGUGUGGUUUCUUCUACUUGGGGAUCAUGCAGAGAGCUUCACGUCUGAAGAGAGAGCUGCACAUGUUAGCCACAGAGCCACCCCCAGGCAUCACAUGUUGGCAAGAUAAAGACCAAAUGGAUGACCUGCAAGCUCGUACCCAUUUGAACCUCCUCAGAUCCGAUUUCUCACUCCAAUUUAUCAUCCAAACAUUGAUUCUGCUGGAAGGAUUUGUCUGGAUGUUCUCAAAUUGCCACCAAAAGGUGCUUGGAGACCAUCCCUCAACAUCGCAACUGUGUUGACCUCUAUUCAGCUGCUCAUGUCAGAACCCAACCCUGAUGACCCGCUCAUGGCUGACAUAGUAAAUAUCCCCAUUUUCCUCUGCAACACAUAUCCUACCUUGUCUAUACCGCUAACUCUCCCUGUGUGAGGAUAGCUGCAGCAGCUCUAACCACUGCAAAUCAUGUUUUUCUCCAUUAACUCUUUUCUUUGAUUUCAUCUCAGUCCUCAGAAUUUAAAUAUAAUAAGCCAGCCUUCCUCAAGAAUGCCAGACAGUGGACAGAGAAGCAUGCAAGACAGAAACAAAAG
rnacentral:sRNA from 1 species